UCCUUCCAGCAAUAUAAACUGACCAGAUGAUCAGGAUCGAUCGUGUGCUUGUUUAGUGAAGCCAUCUACUCUUGUGAGGAAGGCAAGGCCAAGAUGUCCGGAUCUUGUUGGAAGUGAAGCAUAUCAAUUUCCUUUAAGGUCAUCCAUGCCUCAAUUCCGUCUCCAAAUUUGUCGUCCUUCAGAACACUAACAUCUAUAGGAAAAUUCAUUGCACUCAUCCAUGCAGGCUUUCCCCAGCCAAAGUUUGCUUCCUCCAUACCCAGCCUACACCAGCUUGAGAACUUGAAUGUAUCUACUUCCCCUUGUUCAAUUCUUCAAACAACUCUUUAUGGUACUUAGUUACCAUUGAACACAUCGUCGCUGUUUACUGCAUUUGCGCAAUCUGAAAUGGCUUUCCUCUUAGCAUCCCUCAGGAGACUCGCAAUGUCACUCAACUCUAACCUAUUGCUCUCACCAUUUGCAUUGAAUCUAGAAAUGAAAGGCAUAUACAUGUUCCCACAAGCAUUUUCAGGUAAAGGCAUAUUCACCUUUCCUCUCAGCGUCAUUAUCUGGCGCACUGAUGAUGCUCUCAGGUGUCCGUGCUGUGCUUUAACUGAACCAAUGAGAGCCUUCCAUAUAAGUGCUGUGACCACCUCCAAGCGCGAAUGAUGGUACUUGACUCCUGAAUCGGUGCCACCACCAAUUUUAGAUUUCAGCUUGUCUAUGGCUUCCUUGUUAAACACAAAUACUUUUGUGACAAUCUUAGGUUGAACUUUUGGUACUGCUGGUGGAAAAUUGAGACGUAAAUCUCUUUGUGGGAAGAGAAAUGGGCAAUCAAAUCUUGGACGACGAACUUGAUCACUUAUCCCACGUUCUCGGAAUGUUGUAGCCCAUGCAUUGAUGAAUGUGGAGAUUGUUGGUAUAUCAGCUAUCCUGUGCGAAGUGAGCAAGCCGAUAGCUAAACCUCCACACUUAAACUUGUUGAUUUGGAUGGCUAAUAAACGACCAGCAGUGUCUGAUUCAGUUACACAAGGAACAAAGUGAUCCAGCAGAUCAAGAUUGCUAUUGGGGUCUUGUUGGAUAAUUUGUGUGAGGUCUACCCCAUCAACUUUGGCUUCCAGGAACUCCACCCCUUCAUCAUUACAAUCAACUGAGAGAUUAUCUUCGAUGUAUCUUCCUGCUAGAGGGUAAAAGAGGGUUAAUAUUUCGGACAAAGAUUUCUCUAGAUCUUCGAUGUUGUUGACAUGGUGGUUGUUAGGAUAGUAGAAAAUAUUGGGUACAUUCAGUGAAGGAGCAAGCUGAUCGAGAAAUGAUAUGUUCAGAUUCUGAAGGUGAGGAGGAGUUUGAACUGAUGGUUUUAUUAGCUUUCUAGAUAUGAGCUGAACCUCCAUUGCCAGCUUGCUAUAUAUUUCGCCUCGAUCAUUGCCUUUCCCCCUUUUAAUAGCUACGUACUGAGAUGGUAGGUGGGUUUUGAAUCAUGGAAGCUGAGUAGGAACUUGAAAGUUUGAUGAAGUGAUCAAACUAAUCUCUUAGAUUAUUUGUUUAUUGUUUCCAUGUAUUUCCUUUGACUUAAUUUGGUAUAGAACUUAUGUAUGCGAAGAAAAUCUAACAGAUUCAUUUAUGAACCAGUGAAAUACAAUAUGUUAAGUCUAAGAUUUUGUGCUAACAGAUUCAUUUAUUUUCAGCUUUAUUGUUAUUUUAAGGCCACGAUAUCCUCAUAUUCAUUUAUUUUCAACUUAAUUUUAGAUUUUGUGCCUAAUUUUCACCGUAAGAUGUUUAAUAUAUAUUGCUCAGAAGCAUAAUCAUAUUGUAGAUUUAUUGGCUAAUUAAGCAAGCAUGGAGAAGAAUUGUUUUGUGCAAUUUGAUUCCUUGUCCACCAGAAGUUUAUUGAAAGUUUCUAAAUAAUUAAAGUUUUUUGUUUAGAUAAUCUCAUUAUUGAUAUUUUAAAUAUAUUGUUUGAUGUAUAAUUAUAGUCAGAUUUUAAUAAUAAAUAUUUUAAAAAUAUUUUUUUCUUGAAAAUAUAUCAAAAUAUUUUUCUUUAUAUAUUUUUUUUGUUUUUAACAUCACCAUAAUAAAAUCAUCAAAUAACUUGUUUAGAAUCAAAUCAUGAGUGGAAUUUAAUUUAAUUUCAUAUAUGAAUUGAAUUUAAUUAACAAUAUAUAUAUUAUAAUUCUUAAAUCCCGUAAUUGAAUUUAAUUUAAACACACAUGGAUUUUGUGCUAACAGAUUCAUUUAUUUUCAGCUUUAUUGUUGUUUUAAGGCCACGAUAUCCUCAGAUUCAUUUAUUUUCAGCUUAAUUUUAGAUUUUGUGCCUAAUUCUUUUUCUUUUUUAUCUAGGAUUCUAAUUUUUCUACUUUGUAAAGUUCAGUUUUUUUCACCUAUUUAAGAAGUUAUAAAAUUUAUCAGAGAGGCAUAAUACAUGUCCGAGAUAAUUAUUCAGAAAUAAAAUACAAAUCCAUCUACCCCAUUUGAACUUCGCUGUUGCAAUUCCCAGUCAAUCAUAAAGAAAGUUCAAUGCGUCAAUUUUGAAAACCCAAAUUGGAAACGGAAACGAGAGAUGAAGACAAGUUCAACGCGUCAAUUUUGCAAGAACCCUGUUUUGUGUUGGCAUGCAAUAUCGUUAUUUUCCUUUCAUGCCAGCACAGUGUCUUCGUCUCUAUAUGUGGACACUGAUAUGGCUAUCUUUACUUUCGUUUCUUGCCAACACAGUGUCUUCGUCCAUGGACACUUCAAUUGUUUUGUUCAUCAUAGAGGAAGAUGCUCGGAGGUUGGCUCCAGCCUCCACUUUUGACCUCUGUAUAUCAAAACAAAUUAUACGGGACUGUGACCGGAAAUGAGAGGGCCGGUAGGCCAUGGCAAAGAAUUGGCUACCUCCAUUCUCAAUUAUUGGCAAUACUUAAUUAACAUGACUGUAACUUUGAUGUUGAUGCCCAACCAAUCCUAAGGCAAGCAAUUUUGACUUAUUGAUAUAGAUAAAACAGCACGGGAAAAUCACAGUCACACACAAGAAAGAUAAAAUUAGUUGAAUUAUGCAUUUAUUAUUGAAUAUUUUUUUAAUGUGAUUUACUUUUUAAAGGUUUGCAGCUGUUUAAAUAGAUAAAAAUUCAAUCUUUAUAAAUAACGAAAAUGAAAAUUUUAAGCCAAAUAAAAAAGUCAAAAUAUAAUUCAAAAUUAAGUUACCAAUAAAAAAUAAAAAGAAAUAUAAACAAAAUUGGUUAAAACAUCAUCUUUCAAACUUAAUUUAAGAGGCUUUGACGCGAAAAAAAUAACACAAGAAAUAGUUCAAGCACAAGCAACAUAAAAUUUCAUUGAAUAGAAUCAUUAAUCAAAAACUCUAAUUUUUUUUAUAAAUAUUUAUUUUUACAUAAUUUAUUGAAAUACAAACUAAACAACUUAUUAGAGAAUACUAAUAUAUCACUGAAUUCUCAAUGAUAUUUAUUCUAAUAAAGAAGAUAACUCGUUUACUCAUAUUUUUAAAAUAGAUUCUAAAAUUUAGUUAUGAAUUCAUGAUCAUUUUCUUCGCAAUUCUCUAGUCUUCUUUUUUUUAUUAUUAAUAAAUGAUUGAAUAAUUCUUCAACUUGCCUUUGUAAUUUUUCUUUUUAUUAACGUGGGUGUCCAGGCCAGCUUGCGCAUAUCUCGACUAAUCCCAUGGGUCUUGAAGUUAAUUACUAUAUAAGCUUCCAGUGACCAUCAUAUAAAUAAUCACAAGGCUUAAAUAUGAGACCGCAAAAACAACAAACCUUGUAAAAAAAAAGAAGAGAUAACUAUCUCAUUUUCUCAUGAUGGUCCAUCAAUGACUUUAGAAUACAUUAAAGUCUUUGGGAUACAACCUAUUCCCUUCAUUCUUUGUUUUCAGGGUUAUCCAAUGAAUUGGUGGCUCGUAUUAAAUGCCCGACUUAUUUAUUUUUUUUGUUUUAAAAUUUAUUUAAAAAAAUUUUAAAUUUUAAAUUUAUUUAUUUCAAAUUAAUAUGUUUUUAGUAUUUUAAAAUUAUUUUGAUAUAUUAAUAUCAAAACUGAUUUUUAAAAAAUAAAAAAUAUUAUUAAUAUAUAUUUUAAUAUAAAAAGUUAUUUAAAAAAUAAUCAAAACUACGUUAUCAAACAAACUCAGCGUACUAUUACUUCCCAUAUUUUUUUAUCCUCCAUAAAAAGGCGUCCACUAAUUUGAGCUGUAACAUCAUAGGCCCCAGCCAAACUCCAAUUUGUUUUUGGCAUUGUGGGUCUAAGCACUGCUUUUUUAUUUGCUUUGUUCAGUUGUUGAGAUGAGUUGUUCUAGAAGACAACACCUGGACGAACCAGAUCAGAUGCUUGAGAGUAUUUUAUUAGGAUCCAUGACAACGAUAUUGUUCAAAUCCAGCAGAGUUUUGUUUUUUUCUUUUCUUUUUUCGUUUCGUUUUUUUUCCUUUUAUUUUUGUUUUACAUGUGUUUUUUUGCUUUUUUUUCCUUCAAGACUGUCUCUUUUUUUUUUCAUCACAUUUUAUUUUGUUUUUUCCUUUUUUUUGGGUUUUACAUAUUUUUUAUUUUUUUUUCCAGAAUUGUCUUUUUUUUUAUUCUUUUUUGUUUUUGUAUUUUUUUAAAUUAUCUUUGUCGAUUUUUUUAAUAUUAAACAGGUAAAGAAUUUAGUUUUGUAAUUUUUUUACAAAAAAAUAUUAUGAAUUACAACAAUGGUUUUUUAUAUAUUUUUUUUCAUAAAAAAAAAUAAUAUAUAUUAAUCUCUACAACUCUAAUAAAUAUCUAAUAUUUAAGAGAACAUUAAAUAUAAAUAUUUUAGAAAUAAUACUUUGAUACAAUAGGAAUUACAUAAUUAUAAUAACUUUAUAAUUUUAUAUACAAAUAUCUUUACUCUAAAAUCAUAAAUCAAAUAUUAGAUUUAUUAAUAUAAUAUAAUAUAAUAUAAAUAUUAAAAUUAAAUUAAAUAUAAAAUUAAUAAGAUUAUUGGUUAUAAUGAUAUCAAACUAACAACCCAUCUAACCCAUAUAAGUGCGCUAAUUGCAUGGCAUCAAUCUUCAGCAGCUAUGAUGACUCAAGUGUUCUUUUUCUUGCUUGCUUUCCUUCUCUCUGUCUACCUUCUCCUCACCAAAAAUGCUUCCAAAAGGCUUCCACCAGGUUCUUUGGGUCUUCCCAUCAUAGGUCAAAGCCUCAGCUUCCUAAGUGCCAUGCGCAAAAACACAGCAGAAGAAUGGCUGCAGGAUAGAAUAAGAAAAUAUGGCCCUGUUUCGAAAUGAGCAUCCUCGGGGCCCCUACUCUGUUCAUUCAUGGACAGGCAGCAAACAAGUUCUUCUUCAGUUGCGACGGCAACACUCUGGACAGUAAGCAGCCAUCGUCGAUAAGUAGGGUUUGCGGCGAGAGGAAUAUCCUGGAACUAAGUGGCCAUGACCAUAAGCGCGUAAGGGGAGCUCUCUUAUCUUUCUUAAAGCCUGAAGUUCUGAAGCAAUAUGUUAGUAAGAUGGAUGAAGAGAUUAGAAAGCAUUUCGAGAUGCAUUGGCGCGGCAAGAAAACUGUUUUGGUCAGUGAAUUUUAUCUAAAAAAAGCUAAACUCCACUGAUUAUAUAUAUCACAAGUAAUAUUUUGUGUUUUUGCAGCUUUGAUGCCUUUUAUAUCUGAUUUAUCUCUUGACAACAUAGGCAAUGCCAUCGAUUAAGACCCUCACCUUCAAUAUUAUGAGCUCGCUUAUUAUUGGGAUAGAGGAAAGUGCAAAAAGAGACAUACUCCUACAGCUCUUCGAACAACUAAUGGAGGGUGUUCUAUCAGUACCAUUCAAUUUUCCCUUCACACGAUUCAAUCGAAGCCUCCAAGCAAGUGGGAAAAUCAGACCGAUUUUAGAGGAUCUUAUCCGAGAAAAAAGAGCUGCACUGGAGCAUGGAACUGCCUUUCCUCAACAAGAUCUUAUCACGACCUUGCUUAGUCUCCGAAACGAGGAGAAUUCAGCAGUAUUAACUGAUGAGGAAAUUAUAGAUAAUGCAAUCGUGAUAAUGAUAGCAGGCUAUGACACCUCCUCCGUCCUCCUCAGUUUGUUGAUCAGGCUUUUAGCCGAUGAUCCAUCUAUUUAUGCCAGCAUUCUUCAAGGUAUGUAACUAAAUUUAUUCAAUAAAAACCAAAUAAUAUUGCAAGAAAUCAUAGCAAACACUACGAUUUGAGAUUGCAGAACAAGCAGAGAUUUCCAAGAAUAAAGCCUCUGGGGAGCUCUUAACAUGGGAUGAUCUCACAAGAAUGAAACAUACAUGGAGUGUAGCAUCGGAGACCCUAAGGAUGACCCCUCCUGUAUUUUUUAUCUUCAGGAAGGUUCUCAAAGAUUUGAAUAUGAAGGGUACCUGAUACCCAAAGGAUGGCAGGUGUGAUAUGAUUCUGAGUUUGCAUACCUUAUCAUUAAUAUAGUUAACCAAACCACUUCAAAACAUACAUAAUGCUGUACAAAGUUACCACUUUUUUGACUCAGGUAAUGUUGUCGACCAUCAUGACACAUAUGGAUGACAGCAUCUUCCCACAUGCAUCAAGAUUUGAUCCAGAACGUUUCCAGAAUAAAGCAUCAGUCCCGCCGUAUAGUUUUGUAUCAUUCGGGGGAGGAGCACGCAUAUGUCCUGGAUUUGAAUUUGCAAGACUUGAAACUCUGAUCACAAUACAUUACCUGGUGAACAGGUUCGUUUGGAAGCUCUGUCACCCUGGCAUUUCUUUUUCAAGAGAUCCAUUUCCACUCUUCAAGGAUGGACUGGAGAUAGAAAUUGAGCCAAGGACCCCACUGUGAUAGAUAACUAAAUGCAUGCUCUAAUGUAUAUAUGCUCUCUGUCCUUCAAUUUGCAGAAUAUUCUGUUGAAUAAUUACUUAAAGUUGAAUCCAGAUAUGAGGGAACUUCCAUCUGUGUGUUUGUAGCAUUGCUAAUUGCCGAGCAAUUUCAGAUUUCCUUUUUUUUCAAGUUAAUGAUGUAGGGAAUCGAACAGCCGGAUGUGAAUAUGUUGUAACUGGAGCACGCGGAAAGCUUAGGGUGAUCCUUAAGCAUGGUUAUAGGUUUUCUCAACAAGGGAGAGAGAUCGAAAUCCUCUCUUUCUCGAGAUCCCCUGAAUCGCCGCAUCCCCUCUCUCCCGCAACGGGGCUAAAGCUCACGGUCCGGUUGAAUCACUAAACCGGCGACACGUUUAUGGAUCAAUGAGACAAUCUAAAUAGCUAAACUAUGCUAUUGAUUUUAGGGGGUGUGAAAAUGGAGAGAGACUUGUUAGGAUUUUUCACAGUUUUGGAUAGUUUCAAGGCAUAUGUGGAUCCUGCUCCCCGCAUCAUCAAGAACUUUCUUGCUUCUCAAGCUGGACAAAUAAGUUUGAUGAAUGCAUAGACAUUUUUUAGUUUCUCAGACACAAAAACUCUAUGAACAGAACCCAUUAAUUAAAGUAAAAAAAAGAAUGAAGAGGAUGUGAUAGAAAAAUCGUUCAAGUGGAUGUUACACUACGAGGAAAUUGGAAAAAAAAAAAAAGCAACGGAAACACCAGGAAAAUAUUUCAUCACUGUUUACUAUAAAAAUUACAACGAAAAAUUUCCAGAAAAAUAAUGAUGUGGCAUUUGCAGAAGGGUUUGGACACUGAUAUGGCUAUCUUUAUUUUCCUUGCAUGCCAACACAGUGUCUUCGUCUUCAUCUGUGGACACUUUAAUUGUUCUGUUCAUCAUAAAGGAAGAUGCUGGGAGGUUGGCUCCAGCCUCCACUUUUGACCUCUGUAUAUCAAACAAAUUAUAUGGGACAGUGACCGGAAAUGAGAGGGCCGAUAGGCCUUGGCAAAGAAUUGGCUACCUCCAUUCUCAAUUAUUGGCAAUACGUAAUUAACAUUACUGUAACUUUGAUGUUAAUUGCUCCCCAGAGGCAAGCAUAUCUUUUGUUUCACCUCAGCAAGUUCUUUUUUUAGUUACAGUAAUGUUAAUUAAGUAUUGCCAAUAGAUAGGUAGGCAUGCGAUUUUCGAGUUUUUUUAGGGAUUAUUUCAACUUACAUCGUUGGAUGAUUUAAUACUCUUAUAAUGACACUAAAUUUUCCAUGUAAUUUUCAUAUUUCUUAUAAUCCUGUAUACAUAGAAAUGGGUUUUUUUUAUUAUUAUUUUUAUUAAAGGCAAGUAAAUAUAUCUGAUAAAAAAUAUAUAAAGCUGGAGAACCAACAAGUUUAGGAUCUUUUAUUUUUUGAUUUCAUAAUUUAAAGGAUUCAAUCUAUGUAUUAUGUAUUAGUGUGUUUGUUGGCAUCAAACAAACUCGAUUAAUAUCUAAAUUAUAGGCUUGUAGAAAAACAAAAAGUUUAUUUUUUUAAACUCUACGGAUUAGAGACUGGCAAGUUAGGAUUUUGAGAAAUCCUAACCCAUCGGUCUAUUGGUUAGUCUAAACCAGCUGACUGGUUGGUUUAUGUAAUGAUCAACCGGUUGACCUUGCAGUAGUAGUUAAUCAGGUCUAUUAGAUUCAUUCAGUUUAGGUUAUGUUUAGAAUCAAUCAAGUGAAUCAGUUCAGCUUUAUUAUUAUGAUUUGAUCUCUAAGUCUAGGGUUUUUAUAUUUUAUAUUAUGUUGCUUUGAGUUAUUGUUUUAGUGUUUUUUAUAUUUAUUAUAGGUUUUAUUGACAUUCCUCCUAGUAAGUCUUAGAAAUCUUUGAUUUUGAAUUCGUUUAAUUUUUUGAGUGAGUUGAAUCAUUUCUAUUAUGUAUUACACACACACAUAUAUAUAUAUAUAUAUAUAUAUAUAUAUAUAUAUUUGUGUGUGUGUGUGGGAGGCCAUUUCAUACACUAUUGACACCCUAAUCACCCGCUAAAAAAUAAAUAUCAUGUACACACAAGCUAAUAACUGUUAGCACGAUUUAGCUUUAAAUUUAAAAAAUAAAUUGAUGAAUUAACACGGUAAUAAAAAUAUUUUAUGAAAUAAUAUAUUUUUAAUUUUUCACAAUCACAAUCAUUAUAUAUAUUAAAUAUUAUAUUUUUAAAUUGCAAUAAAUAAUUGAUAUUAUAAUUAAAAAAUAAAAUUUUAAUUAAUUUGAUGAUUUUCAACUACAACAUCAAUUAAUUGUUGUUUCAAAUCAAUUAUCAUCUAUUUUAGUUAAAGUUUAUACUCAAAGAAAUUUAUCAAAGCUUGCUGUACAAUCUGUUUUAAUGCAGACACGACAUUCUAUAAAAUUUAUUGUGGUCUCUUUGAACGCAAUUAAAGAAUCAGUUUGUCUGAUAUUUACUAAAUAUUAUUUUUUUGAAGCGUUACAUGUGAAAGGUAAAAAUAUAUUAGUUUUAAAAAAUACAAACAAUAUUAUUAUGUAAUUUUUAUGUAUUUAUUAUUGUGCUAAUUAAAAAAAAUCGUAAAAAUAUUGUACAGUGAAACCUACCGAACCUCGAACAAGGGAGCUUGGUCAUGGGAACCGUGAAUCCCAUACCCAACUGUUGUUUCCUGUUUUCUAUGCUCGAUCAUGUGUGUGUAUUUCCCUUUUGUUUAUUUUUCUUUUUUAAUUUUUUCUUUAUUUUUAAUUUAGCCCUUGAUCUUUUAAUUCUGCUAUAUUCAGUCAAUUUUGAAUCGAUUUUUCAAGACUUCUUUCAAGUAAGCCCUGGAUCACAUUCGUAAUCAUCAUUCAAUAUUGAGACCUUUUACACUUCAGCUCUUGGAUGUUUAAUUUGUACAAUUUUUUUCUUCAAUUAGGCUCCUAAUGGAAUUAAUAUGGUCGUCAUAUUCCUGCGCCUGUUUUAUUUUGAUCCUUGAUCUUUUAAUUAUUCUAAUUUUGAUCAAAUAUUUUGACUCUAAAUCUCAAUCUUCCUCUUCAAUUGAGCUCUUAAUCGAACCAAUUAGAUCCUCAAAUUUCAACAGCCCUUCCAUUUUGUUUUUUGGUCCUUUAGAUUUUUAAUUUUGGUCAAAUUGACUCUAAAUUUUAAGUUUCUCUUUAAUUAAGCCCCCAAUUGAGUUAAUUGAAAUUCCAAACUUUUCCAUCUCUUUUGUUGUGGUCAUUGACUUGUAAAUUUAGCCAAUUUUUCCUUUAAUUCAAAAUUUUCUCCUCGGUUAGGCUCUCAACUAAAAUAAUAGGACUUCAAAUUUUAAUUUUUUAUCUUUUUCAUUUUGGUCAUUGGUCUUUUAUCUCUUUAAACUAUUAUCAAUUUUAACACUUUCUUUAAUUAAACCCCAAAUUGCAUACCCACAUAACUUUUUGAUCAACUACAAAAUAAAUUUUUAUCUAGUUUCAACCCGGAGUUAUAUUUUAUUUUUAAAAUUCAACAUCAUCGCAAUGUAUUUUUUUUUUUCAAAAUUCUAUAUAUUUCAUCUGGAAUUCAGUUAGUAUAUACUAAUAAAACAAUUCUAUUAGUAUAUACUGACGGUUUUACCGAUCGAUUUAUAUCCGUCAAUAAAUAUCACCGUAAAUUGCCAACAAAAAAUUUUCAUCCAUAAUUUUGUUGGUUUUAAUUAAAUUUCUAGUAGUGUUUUAAGAUGUUUAAUAAGCUAGAUUUAUUGGCUAAUUAAGCAAGCAUUGAGAAGAGUUGUUUUGUGCAAUUUGCUUACUUGUUCACGAGGGUUUAGGGUUUUAGGGUUUAGGGUUUAGGGUUUAGGGUUUAGAUAAUUUCAUUGUUGAUAUUUUAAAUUGUUUGAUGUAUAUUUAUAGUCAGAUUUUAAUAAUAAAUAUUUUUAAAGUAUUUUUUUUAUUAAAAAUAAAUCAAAAUAAUUUUCUUCAUAUUCUUUUUUUUUUGUUUUUAACAGCACCAUAAUAAAAUCAUCGAAUAACUUGUUUAGAAUCAAAUCAUGAGUGGAAUUUAAUUCAAUUUCAUAUAAGGAUUGAAUUGAAUUAAUAAUAUAUUAUAAUUCUUAAAUCCCGUAAUUGAAUUUAAUUUAAACACACAUGGAGAUGAUGAGUUGGAUUAGCUAUUUUGCUUUUAAUUUAAAAAUAAAUUUGAUACAAAAUCAACAAAAUAGAUAAAACGUGGAUCUGCAUAUCAUUGGAUUCACCGAAUCAAGUCAUUUUAUUUUUUUUAGUUUUUCCUGAAUUUGAAGUCCACUACGGCUUUGAGAAUCCGUGAAGUAAAGAGGGCCGAAGCCAUCAAUCUUGCAAGAACCCUACUUUGUAGUAUUUCUGAUAUUUUCAUUAUUAUUCUGAAGACUGCAAGAGUGACUGAUUUUGCCUGAUGGGAUCGUAACAGGGAAUGGCAGGACCAGUGGGCCAGGACAAAGAAUUUACAAAAAGAAGAUAAAAUACUUAAUUAACAUUACUGUAACUUUGAUGUCGAUGCCCGGCCAAUCCUAAGGCAAGCAAUUUUAUCUUAUUGAUAUAGAUAAAAAAAUCGUUUGGGAACGCGGUUGAAACUGUAUUUUCAUAAAAUUUAAAUUAUUUUUCUUGUUAAAAUUUAAUAUAAUUUAUAUAUUUUAGAUCAUUUUAAUAUAUUGAUGUUAAAAAUAAUUUUUAAAAAAUAAAAAAAUAUCAUUGAUAUAUAUUUCGACACGAAAAAUUAUUUAAAAAGAAACCGCUACUAUACUGCCAAACAUACUUAAAAUAGCACGGAAAAUUCAUAGUCACACACAAGAAAUAUAAAAUUAGUUAAAUUAUACAUUAAUUAUUGAUUUUUUUUUAUAAUGUGAUUUAUUUUUAUAAGAGAUUUACAGCUCUUUAAAUAGAUAAAAAAAAUGAAAUUUUAUAAAUAACAAAAAUAAAAAUUUUAAGCCAAAUAAAAAAGUCAAUAUAAAAUUCAAAAUUAAGUUACAAAUAAGAAAAUAAAAAAGAAAAAGAAAAAUAACAAAAUUAAUUAAAACAUCAUCUUUCGAACCUAAUUUAAGAGGUUUUGACAUGAACAAAAAUAACAUCAGAAAUACUUCAAUAACAAGCAACAUAAAAUUUCGCUAAUAAAAUCACCAUCCAAAAAAUUCUAAAUUUUUUACUGAAUAUUUAUUUUUAUAUAAUAUAUUGAAAUACAAAUUAAACAACUUAGUAGGGAAUAUUAAUACACCUUUAUCUUGUCAUAAACGGUAUCAUUGAAUUCUCAAUGAUAUUUACUUUAAUCAAGAAGAUAGCUCCUUUACUCGUGUCUUUAAAAUGGAAUCUGAAAUUUGGCUAUGAAUCCAUCAUCAUUUUCUUCACAAUUCUCCAAUCUUUUCUUUUUUAUCUUUAUUAAUUGAUUGAAUAAUUCUUCAACUUGCCUUUAUAAUUUUAUUAUUACUAGUUGAAUGAUUAAUCCUGUCUCUGUAAAACAAGAGAUGACUCUCUCCUUUUCUCGUGAUGGUACAUCAUUGACUUUAGGAUACAUUUGUGAGAUGGCUCUCUCUUUUUCACUUGUUGGUGCAUUAAAGUCUUUGGGAUACAACCUAAUUUCUUCAUUCUUUAUUUUCAGUGUGUUAGUGAAUGAAUUGAUGGCUGAUUUGAUAUAUUUGUUUUUUAUUUUAAAAAUAUUUUAAAAAAAUUAAUUUUUUUUUAAUUUUUUAUUAACUUCAAAUUAAUAUGUUUUUAAUGUUUUUAAAUUAUUUUGAUAUGCUGAUAUAAAAAUAAUAUUUAAAAAAUAAUAAAAAAUUAUUAACAUGUAUUUUAACAUGAAAUAUUAUUUGAAAAACAACCAUAAUCACACUUCAGUGUAAUACUCUAAAACAAGUUGAGAAAGUACUAUUAUUUCCCAUAUUUUUUUUAUCCUUUACUAACUAUGAAUAUUUUAGAAAUAAUUCUUUGAUAUAAUAGGAAUCAUAUAAUUAUAAUAAUUUUAUAAUUUUUCAUAUAAAAUAUUUUUGUUUAUAAGCUUUAUUUUACUUUAAAUUUAUUAAUAUAAUAUUAUAUGAAUAUUAAAGAUAAAUUAAAUAUUUAUUAAUAAUAAACAUAUAUUUCCAUAAAUAUAAUAAUAUCACGUGAAUCUAAUCUAUUGGCUAUAAUUAUAUUAAAGUAACAACCCAUCAACCCGUAUAAGUGCGCUAAUUGCAUGGCAUCAAUCUUCAGCAGCUAUGAUGAUUCAAGUGUUCUUUUUCUUGCUUGUUUUCCUUCUCUCUGUCUACCUUCUCCUCACCAAAAAUGCUUCCAAAAGGCUUCCACCAGGUUCUUUGGGUCUUCCCAUCAUAGGUCAAAGCCUCAGCUUCCUAAGUGCCAUGCGCAAAAACACAGCAGAAGAAUGGCUGCAGGAUAGAAUAAGAAAAUAUGGCCCUGUUUCGAAAAUGAGCAUCCUCGGGGCCCCUACUCUGUUCAUUCAUGGCCAGGCAGCAAACAAGUUCUUCUUCAGUUGCGACGGCAACACUCUGGACAGUAAGCAGCCAUCGUCGAUAAGUAGGGUUUGCGGCGAGAGGAAUAUCCUGGAACUAAGUGGCCAUGACCAUAAGCGCGUAAGGGGAGCUCUCUUGUCUUUCUUAAAGCCUGAAGUUCUGAAGCAAUAUGUUAGUAAGAUGGAUGAAGAGAUUAGAAAGCAUUUCGAGAUGCAUUGGCACGGCAAGAAAACGGUUUUGGUCAGUGAAUUUUAUCUAACAAUUGCUAACCUCCACUGAUUACAUAUAUCACAAGUAAUAUUUUGUAUUUCUGCACCUUUGAUGCCUUUUAUAUCUGAUUUAUCUCUUGACAACAUAGGCAAUGCCAUCGAUUAAGACCCUCACCUUCAAUAUUAUGAGCUCGCUUAUUAUUGGGAUAGAGGAAAGUGCAAAAAGAGACAUACUCCUACAGCUCUUCGAACAACUGAUGGAGGGUGUUCUAUCAGUACCAUUCAAUUUUCCCUUCACACGAUUCAAUCGAAGCCUCCAAGCAAGUGGGAAAAUCAGACCGAUUUUAGAGGAUCUUAUCCGAGAAAAAAGAGCUGCACUGGAGCAUGGAACUGCCUUUCCUCAACAAGAUCUUAUCACGACCUUGCUUGUCUCCGAAACGAGGAGAAUUCAGCAGUAUUAACUGAUGAGGAAAUUAUAGAUAAUGCAAUCGUGAUAAUGAUAGCAGGCUAUGACACCUCCUCCGUCCUCCUCAGUUUGUUGAUCAGGCUUUUAGCCGAUGAUCCAUCUAUUUAUGCCAGCAUCCUUCAAGGUAUGUAACUAAAUUGAUUCAAUAAAAACCAAAUAAUAUUGCAAGAAAUCAUAGCAAACACUACGAUUUGAGAUUGCAGAACAAGCAGAGAUUUCCAAGAAUAAAGCCUCUGGGGAGCUCUUAACAUGGGAUGAUCUCACAAGAAUGAAACAUACAUGGAGUGUAGCAUCGGAGACCCUAAGGAUGACCCCUCCUGUAUUUUUUAUCUUCAGGAAGGUUCUCAAAGAUUUUGAAUAUGAAGGGUACCUGAUACCCAAAGGAUGGCAGGUGUGAUAUGAUUCUGAGCUUGCAUACCUUAUCAUUAAUAUAGUUUAACCAAAACACUUCAAAACAUAUAUAAUGCUGUACAAAGUUACCACUUUUUUGACUCAGGUAAUGUUGUCGACCAUCAUGACACAUAUGGAUGACAGCAUCUUCCCACAUGCAUCAAGAUUUGAUCCAGAACGUUUCCAGAAUAAAGCAUCAGUCCCGCCGUAUAGUUUUGUAUCAUUCGGGGGAGGAGCACGCAUAUGUCCUGGAUUUGAAUUUGCAAGACUUGAAACUCUGAUCACAAUACAUUACCUGGUGAACAGGUUCGUUUGGAAGCUCUGUCACCCUGGCAUUUCUUUUUCAAGAGAUCCAUUUCCACUCUUCAAGGAUGGACUGGAGAUAGAAAUUGAACCAAGGACCCCUCUGUGAUAGAUAACUAAAUGCAUGCUCUAAUGUGUGUCUUUAUGUGUGUAUAUAUAUAUAUAUAUAUAUAUAUAUAUAUGCACUCUGUCCUUCAAUUUGCAGAAUGUUCUGUUGAAUAAUUACUUAAAGUUGAAUCCAGAUAUGAGGGAACUUCCAUCUGUGUGUUUGUAGCAUUGCUAAUUGCCGAGCAAUUUCAGAUUUCCUUUUUUUUCAAGUUAAUGAUGUAGGGAAUCGAACAGUCGGAUGUGAAUAUGUUGUAACUGGAGCACGCGGAAAGCUUAGGGUGAACCUUAGGCAUGGUUAUAGGUUUUCUCAACAAGGGAGAGAGAUCGAAAUCCUCUCUUUCUCGAGAUCCCCUGAAUCGCCGCAUCCCCUCUCUCCCGCAACGGGGCUAAAGCUGACGGUCCUAGGUGGUGAAUCACUAAACCGGCGGACACAUCUAUGGAUCAAUGAGACCAUCUAAAUAGCUAAACUAUGCUAUUGAUUUUAGGGGGUGUGAAAAUGGAGAGAGACUUGUUAGGAUUUUUCACAGUUUUGGAUAGUUUCAAGGCAUAUGUGGAUCCUGCUCCCCGCAUCAUCAAGAACUUUCUUGCUUCUCAAGCUGGGACAAAUAAGUUUGAUGAAUGCAUAGACAUUUUUUAGUUUCUCAGACACAAAAACUCUAUGAACAGAACCCAUUAAUUAAAGUGAAAAAAAGAAGAAGAGGAUUUGAUAGAAAAAUCGUUCAAGUGGAUGUUACACUAUUAGGAAAUUGAAAAAAAAAAGCAACGGAAACACCAACGAAAAAUAUUUCAUCACUGUUUACUAUAAAAAUUACAACGCAAAAUUUCCGCUUGUAAUUUCCAGCAGAAAUGGUGACGGAAUAAAAAAAAAUCAUCAACAAUUUCGUCGGCAUUUCUAAAGUGUUAAAUUGCUGACAUAAUUCUCAUAAAAGAUUGUAAAAUGAAUUAAAAACCUGACAAUUCUCUCUUCUCCAUCCCCUCCUCUUUAUCUUUUUUCAUUUCAAUUCAAGCCCUAACCCUAUUAAUUUCUUCAAGUUUUCGACAAGCCCCCUCUAAAAUCUGGUCACCCAACCCGCCAAUGCAACCUCCCUCUCUUAAUUCUAUUUAAUAUCAAGCUUCGCUUCAUUAAGAAAAAAAGUCCAUUUAUUUUUGUUGUAACACCCAUUUAUAUUUAAAGUUAAUUUAUUGAAAUUUGUUUAUAGAAUUUAUAGUUUGCAUGUAUAUUUAAGUAUUUUGUUUGUUUUGUAAUUAUAAUUUUAUUAUAUUAAUAUAUAAUUUGUAUUUUAAAAUUUAUUUGGGAUUUUAAAAAAUAGAUUUAAGAUGUUAAUCGAUGAAAUUGAUUGUUUGGGAUUUCUAUAAAGCUAGUAUCCACAUCAAAUAUUGUUUUUUUGCAUGUUGCUUUUUAUGACCUUCGAAUCCCCACCCUGAAAAUCACACAAGCAAUCAUGUUUCGGUUGCUCUACAUCCUUGUUAGUACCACGAAUAAAUUAUUAGAAUUUGUUUUUGCUAAUAACGCACCCGAAUAUGCAAACAUGGUUAAUGCAUAUUCUCUUUAAUAUUGAUUUUGUUGAUGUAAAUAUAUUUCACUUAAUAAAUUUUUUUUUAAUAUUUAUCAAAUAUUUUAUUAAUGAAUGAAAGUAUAGAUAAAGUUCUUAGAACAAAAAUAUUUUGUAAAUAAAAUUAUCAAGUUAUUAUAAUUAUAAGAUUUUUAUUACAUCAAAAUAUUGUUUCUAAAUAUUCUUGGUAAAUAUUCUAUUAAAACUGGAAAUUAAUUAAAGCUAUUAAGACUUGUACAUAUUAUAUUCUUUCCUUUAUGAAAUAAAACAGUUGUUUUCAUAAGUUAAGAUAUGAUCGAGGGAUACCAAUAACUAAUAUGUAGGUUCUUGUUGGAUAACAUGUACACCAAACUAACUCGCAUGAGAAUUAUAUAUGGAAAGAUCACUUGUGUACAUGGAAGGAUUAUAUGACCGUUGUGUAAGUGAUCCUUAAACUUGAAAUUACUAAGUUAUUUUAUAUAGAGAGUAUUAUGUUUUGAUCUUAUUACAUGUUAUCCUUAUCAAAGGUAACAAAUGAGCAGGUAUUAGGUAUGGCAUGAACUAUAUGAAGAUAUUUAAGUAAUCAAAAGAGGAUUCAUCACUUUAGAUGAAUUGGAAAAAAUAUUCCACGUGUUCUCAAAUAAUAUUGAUUGUAAAUUUUUAUAUAAGGUGGAAUGAGAUUCGAAAAGAGUUUUAAAUCUUAUUCAAAUAAUAAAUGACUAUGAUAUUGAAAACAAACAUGAUUUGAUAUAAUAGAAAAAAAUCACCCAUGUUGUAGUUUCCCUCUUUUUUUUUCCUUCGGAAAGAUGAAUGAGAGAUAAGGGUCAAGUUUUUUUCUUUUUUUUCUCUUACGGUUUAGGGUUAUUAGACUUCACACAAUUUCAUAGGUUACAUUCCUUGAUAUAGUUUAACAUGGAAGCUCUAUGGCUGAGCUUUUUGUUUUUUUAGAAUGUGUUUGGCAUUUUAGUAUCUUUUGCUCUUAUAAUUUGAAUUUUUUUAUAAAAAAAAACUCCAAAUUUAUUAUAUAUUUUGAUUAAUCAACAGUGGUUGCAGAUCUGUUUUAAUUGGAUCAUGUGAAAAAGACAUUUAUAGAUUAGUAGACCAGAUCUAAACCUAAAAAGAGUUUUAGCCAUGUCAAACGACUUGUUUGAUAAAAAAGCUCUUAACUUAGAUUAAGAAACCUUAAAUUAGCCUCUCAAGUUUUUUUUUUUUUCAAUUUCAUCUUUCAACAUUAGAUUGAUUGAGAAUUAAGCUUCAUAAUUUGUUACCGUUUGUUUUCUAUUGAGUUAUUUCAAUCUCAUAACCCAGGUUGAGAUUUUGGCAAGUUAACCCGUGUUAACUCAAAUUGUUUUUUAGGUAUUUUUUUAAUUGAUUUUUUCAAUUUCUUCCUUCAACAUUAGGUUUAUUAGGAAUUAAGCUUCGUAAUUUGUUUUGAUUUAUUUUUUUAUAUUAUGUUUAUUAUGAUCUAAUGACUUAGUAUGCAAAUUAACAAGUUAACAUAGAUUGAUCCGAAUUGUUCAAAUAUGUUGUUGUCUCAAUGUUUAUUUAAAAAAAUCUCAUCUUAAAUAUUUAUUUUGAGUCAAAUUAUAUUUUUAAAGGUUAUUUUGGUUGCUUUUGAGCCCGUCAAGGUAAUCAAGUCACAUCAGAUCAAUUCCCAUAUGAUUUUAAAUUUUUUUCUGCUAAAAAAAAUAUUAGUAAUGCCAAGAUAUUUUUUUACUUUAAUUUUUUUAUCUCAUCCGCAGUAUAGCAAGAGCCAAUUAUCUAGUAAUUAAUUAAACAUCUAAAAGAACUAAUUCCCUUAGUUAGCAUCAUUAUUCAUAUGAAUUGUAAAAUUGCUCCUCAAUAAUUUAUUUAUUUUUAUUUUCAUCUUUUUUUAAAAAAAAAUUAUCCUUAGAUUUUGUUUUAUUUAAUUCUUUCUUGAUAUAAUUUCAUGAGAUAAAGUUUUAAAUUGUAGUAGAAAAUAAAAUUAAAAGAUAGAAUAUUACAUUAUAAAUCAUGGAGAAAAUACAUGGCCAAUCUUUUUAGAAAUUUUAUUUUGAUCUAAAAAUUUAUUUUAUUUAUUUUUGUAGUCUUUGAGUUUGAGAAAAGAGAAAGAAACUUGUUGAAAAGCGGUAAAAAAUAGAAAAAAAUAUCGAUUAACCACAUUUAGCCACACAAAAAAAAAAUCUUUGUCAAUAGAUUUAUCUUCUCAAGAAUAAUUUAAUGAAGAUAGUUUGUUUAAAAAUAUAACAAAAAAAAAUAGAUUGAGUUUUUAUUUAUUUAUUUUAAUUCAAUUAAUUUUUAUAUUUUAAAGUGAUUUUAGAAUAUGUGGGGGUUAUCAAGAGCUUUUUUAAGAUGUGCAUUAAAGUGAAAUGAGUUAAAAUUGAGUUUUUGGAAUAUGAAAACAUGUACCUUUUGUGAUAAUUAUUGGAGGCGGCUGGAAAAAUACCAAUCGCCUUCCCCUAUAGACAACUUGUUGCUCGCAUUGAAAAGAAGAAAAUACAAAAGCGGACAGAGACAUUAUGGUUCACAUAAUUACUAAAGCAUUGGGAUGAGAUUAUUACAUCUUACAUCGUUAGAUGCUUUAAUACUCUGUUCUCAAAGGGCUCACUUUGUUGUUUUGUUGAUUAUUGUAAAAUCUCUACGCAUUUUCAACGAUUCCUGUGUCCACCUGUAUAAUACAUAGACUCUGUAUUGUCGGGAUUUCUAAGGUUUCUCAAUGAGUAAUAAUCUAAAAAUAGUUGUCUUGCAACGUUAUGUACAUGAGAGCUACACCAGAAAGGAAAGAGGAUCCAUGCACCUGAGCUGGUCCUUGGAAGUUACUCGGUGAUAAGAGAUGUCUGCUAAUGCGAUUAUGCCACCUUUUUUAGUACAGAAUCUCCAAAAGCUCUAGACAUUGCUAAGCCUAGAGAAUCUUCAUGAGGUGUAGCCAGACUCGAUGGACGUGUAGCUCUUCCUCUAGUUCAAGUACUCUGCCAUUACAUUUUCUUAUUUUUUCUGCUUCGCCUGGAUUAUAAGAGGAUCCAAUUGAAAAAAUGAGUUGCAUAUGAUCAUGAAAAAUCUGUAGUUAAUUGAACAGGCACGAUUCCAUUCUGAUCAUUGAUUCUGCCCAACGCUAGCUAGCUGCUCUUAAGUCUCGAUCCAAGACUUGCUAUAAUAAGAUCGUCACCUGUUUUCAUGAGCCCAGCUCGUGGGUUUGAUGAUUUAAGGAUUAGGGUGGCUAGAGCCGCAGCUUCUGGUGGUUGUUGAGGUUGUGGAGUGAGGUUGGUUGUGGUGAUCGUAAAGGGGUAGGGUUUUAGCGGCUGUGAUUUUUUGAGAGUUGAAAGAAGUAAAGAAUAAGCAUGUACCAUAUAAUUCAAUCACUCAUACUGAUGACAUAACUUCCAUAAACACAAUCUUAAUUCGUACAAAUUGCGCAAACCAAUAAAAAAAAAAGAGAGUACAAGGUCCGUCCUGAAACACAACAGGACAAGAUCGAUGAGACUGGUAACCAAUAAGUGGCUAUUUUCUUCUAUAUAGAAAGUAGAGCAGAGAUAUCAUGGUGAAGACAACUCCUUCCAGCAAUAUAAACUGACCAGAUGAUCAGGAUCGAUCGUGUGCUUGUUUAGUGAAGCCAUCUACUCUUGUGAGGAAGACAAGGCCAAUAUGUCCGGAUCUUGUUGGAAGUGAAGCAUAUCAAUUUCCUUUAAGGUCAUCCAUGCCUCAAUUCCGUCUCCAAAUUUGUCGUCCUUCAGAAUACUAACAUCUAUAGGAAAAUUCAUUGCACUCAUCCAUGCAGGCUUUCCCCAGCCAAAGUUUGCUUCCUCCAUACCCAGCCUACACCAGCUUGAGAACUUG
rnacentral:lncRNA from 1 species